rnacentral:rRNA from 1 species
CCUACGGGAGGCAGCAGUGAGGAAUAUUGGUCAAUGGAGGCAACUCUGAACCAGCCAUGCCGCGUGAAGGAAGAAUGUCCUAUGGAUUGUAAACUUCUUUUAUUUGGGAAGAAACCCCUCUACGUGUAGAGGGCUGACGGUACCAAACGAAUAAGGACCGGCUAACUCCGUGCCAGCAGCCGCGGUAAUACGGAGGGUCCAAGCGUUAUCCGGAAUCAUUGGGUUUAAAGGGUUCGCAGGCGGUUUAUUAAGUCAGUGGUGAAAUCCUACAGCUCAACUGUAGAACUGCCAUUGAUACUGAUAGACUUGAAUAUAGUUGGAGUAGGCGGAAUGUGUAGUGUAGCGGUGAAAUGCUUAGAUAUUACACAGAACACCGAUAGCGAAGGCAGCUUACUAAACUAUGAUUGACGCUCAUGAACGAAAGCGUGGGGAGCGAACAGGAUUAGAUACCCUGGUAGUCCACGCCGUAAACUAUGAUUACUCGUUAUUGGCGAUACACUGUCAGUGACUAAGCGAAAGUGAUAAGUAAUCCACCUGGGGAGUACGGUCGCAAGAUUGAAACUCAAAGGAAUUGACGGGG